rnacentral:rRNA from 1 species
UACAGAGGUCUCAAGCGUUGUUCGGAAUUACUGGGCGUAAGCGUGCGUAGACGGUUAUUUAAGUCGGGUGUGAAAGCCCCGGGCUCAACCUGGGAAUUGCAUUCGAGACUGAAUAGCUAGGGUACGGUAGAGGGAAGCGGAAUUUCCGGUGUAGCGGUGAAAUGCGUAGAUAUCGGAAGGAACAUCAGUGGCGAAAGCGGCUUCCUGGACCAGUACCGACGUUCAGGCACGAAAGCGUGGGGAGCAAACAGG